AAGUCGUAACAAGGUUUCCGUAGGUGAACCUGCGGAAGGAUCAUUAAAUGAAAAGCUGGUUUACCAGUAUACGGCCCCUGAGUUUGUUUCUGACAAGCGCCAGGAUCAGUCGUCAUUUAUACCCAUGUUUUUUGCGUACUACUUGUUUCCUUGGUAGGCUUUGCCUACCAUUAGGACCACACAAAACCUUUUGUAAUUGCAGUCAGCGUCAGAAAUAACUUAAUAGUUACAACUUUCAACAACGGAUCUCUUGGUUCUG
rnacentral:misc_RNA from 1 species